GGGCACAUGGUGUAGUUGGUUAUCACGCCCGCUUAGCAUAUAGCUGUUUGCGGGCGGUCCCCGGUUCAAUUCCGGGUGUGUCCA